rnacentral:rRNA from 1 species
UGCGUAGGGUGCGAGCGUUGUCCGGAAUUACUGGGCGUAAAGAGCUCGUAGGUGGUUUGUCGCGUUGUUCGUGAAAUCUCACGGCUUAACUGUGAGCGUGCGGGCGAUACGGGCAGACUAGAGUACUGCAGGGGGAGACUGGAAUUCCUGGUGUAGCGGUGGAAUGCGCAGAUAUCAGGAGGAACACCGGUGGCGAAGGCGGGUCUCUGGGCAGUAACUGACGCUGAGGAGCGAAAGCGUGGGGAGCGAACAGG